CGGAAAUCCGUGUUGUCUCCGGGUGCAUCCCAAGUCUCCAUGUUAAGCUGGAAGUCAGGUCUUUUAUCGAAAUGAGGAGAUUCGGUGAAGAAGAUCCAACGAUUCCAGUCGAUGACGAGCCUCUGAGCUUGAUUUCCAGGAACCCCCAGAUCUACAUUGCCACUGAAAGAAUCGCAUCAGCUUUGUGGUGGGAUCCUGCCAGUCACCCGGACAGGCGCGUCCCCGGCCAGACCCCUAGUCUGACGAACAUUUGGCCGGUCAGGCUAGACGUCUAGGGGAGUGUGUGGUGGCCCGGACAGGCCAGAGACAGGAAAGAGGACUUCUAAAUCAGCCAGCAAUCCAAAGGCCUUCCAUAAAUCCUCCAAAUGGGCUCGGGUGGGGGACGUAAAGCACACCUGCAAGACUUAUAUGCCGGCCCUGUAUGGAGUGACUCCUCAGCAGUCACAGAGACAGAGACCAGUACGAGCAACACGGGGAAUAUUUGUAGGAAAUCAGAGUUCCUGAGCUCCUGAGCCCCGGUGCCACCGGCUGCUACCUCGAGCUGACACUGAUGUCUGCUGUCACCCCUGUUGCAGCUGCAGAUCUUGUCUCAGGGGCAGAUGAGUUGCUCCUGAUGACCCUCCCUGUGGUUUUACAGCUGUUCCUACAGCGUUUUCUUGAGGACAGAUGAGU